GAUGAACGCUGGCGGCGUGCCUAAUACAUGCAAGUCGAGCGAACAGACGAGGAGCUUGCUCCUCUGACGUUAGCGGCGGACGGGUGAGUAACACGUGGAUAACCUACCUAUACGACUGGGAUAACUUCCGGAAACCGGAGCUAAUACCGAUCAUAAAUUUGACCCUCAGGGUCAAAAAGUGAAAAAAGGUUUUCAUUCCAUUCAAUAUCGAUUCCACGCCGCAUUAGUUAGUGGCUAAGUAAACGACUAACCAAGAUAACGAUGCGUAGCCGACCGAAGAGGGUGAACGGCAACACUGGAAAUGAGACACGGUCAAGACUCUUAAGGGAGGCAGCAGUAGGGAAUCUUCCGCAAUGGGCGAAAGCGUGACGGAGCAACGCCGCGUGAGUGAUGAAGGUCGUCGGAGCGUAAAACUCUGUUAGUAGGGAAGAACAAAUGUGUAAGUAACUAUGCACGGCUUGACGGUACCUAAUCAGAAAGCCACGGCUAACUACGUG
rnacentral:rRNA from 1 species